rnacentral:rRNA from 1 species
CAAUAGCGUAUAUUAAAGUUGUUGCAGUUAAAAAGCUCGUAGUUGGAUUUCUGGGAGGGUGCCAAUGUCCGCCGUCGUGCGUGCGCAGCGGCGCCCUUCCAUCCUUCUGUUAACGCCUCUUGGCAUUCAUUUGCUGGUGGCGGGCUCAGAUAUUUUACCUUGAGAAAAUUAGAGUGUUUCAGGCAGGCUAGGCCGGAAUACAUUAGCAUGGAAUAAUGGAAUAGGACUACGGUCUCGUUGUUGGUUUGAGGGACUGCAGUAAUGAUUAAUAGGGAUAGUUGGGGGCAUUAGUAUUUAAUUGUCAGAGGUGGAAUUCUCGGAUUUGUUAAAGACUAACUUAUGCGAAAGCAUUUGCCAAGGAUGUUUNCAUUAA